GGAGAGGAAAUAGAGAAAGGUCAUGGUUUUAGGCUGCUGUCACGACAACCACAAGUGGCAGUAAAAACAACACUAGAGUAAACAGGAAGUGGCAGGUACAGUUUCACUCACUAUUAUGAACCAAAAUAAAGUGCCACAGCGGUGAAAACAAUGGAGAAGAACAGGCAGAGGCUCAGUGGGGCUUGGGCCAAUGAGCUCAGAGGGCACCUGCAUGGAGAAGUGUGUCCUCUGGGUGGAAUCACGCUGCAGCAGAGGCAUAAACACACUUUCCAAAUAAUAAGCUCUCCCAUCUUGUUCAAGUGAUUCACUUGUUUUUGUUCAUGUUGCAUUCAAGCAGCUCCUGCACCUGUUUUUAUUUAAAACUCUGUCGUUUACCUUUCUGUCCAUGGUGACUACAUGAAAGCUUAACUUUCAUGUAGUCACCAAGUGUUCAGGUGGACCACUUUUCAACCUAACCAAAGGAGCUGCAGGCUGUCUGUGGACCAGGGGUUAAACCUCUGUUAGUGUCAGCUGAUCAAGACCAGGAUGCUGAGCAGAGACCCCUGUGCUGAGUCUAAUGGGCUUAUGAGCCUAAUCCCGGGUCAGCCUGGCAGGACGGGAAGAGAGAAAGCAGGAGGACAGUGGAAUAUUUCAGUGGAGAGCUUCUGUGGGAAACUCUGUGGAAACACCUUCUCCACGCAUUACCAAGGGCGAAGGUAAAGUGAGCUCCUCCAAGCAAACAUCUGCCUUGGUUGGACUCUGAUCCAGUCGGCAGUUACUGCUGCA